GUAGAAGUAUAAUGAUAAAUACAGCUGGUACUCCGUCUCAUUUUUGGGAAUUCAAGAGAGAGUGAUGGGCAGAAAAUCUCACGGACUCCAAAUAAAGAUCACAGUGACUCCUUAGCCCUAGCUGCAGUUGCUGUGCAGGUAUGUGGUCCCUCUUUAUCAGAUAACUGAAUCUUUUUUAAGAUAACCUGAAAAGUCCAAUUUUUCUGUGAAGUCUUGAUUUUUGAAUACUGGAACUAAUUUUAAGACUUUAUAUGGGACAAACACACUUGCAUAACGAACAGUCUCUGCUUUGCAACCAUGAAGGAUUUUUUAAAUGUAUCCUUUAUAGCUCAUAUGCUACAUUAAGCUGUUUUAAUAUUGCAAAGUAAUCAAUGAGAAAUUUUAAAGUAAUAGGAGAGCAGAAAAGUAAUUUGUUCUUUUACCCUAAUUUUUAUAGCUUUAUGAACAAAUUCUAGCUGAAAAUGAAAAGCUGAAGGCACAGCUACAUGAUACAAAUAUGGAACUAACAGAUCUUAAAUUACAGUUGGAAAAGGCCACCCAGAGACAAGAAAGAUUUGCUGAUAGAUCACUGUUGGAAAUGGAAAAAAGGGAACGAAGAGCUCUAGAAAGAAGAAUAUCUGAAAUGGAAGAAGAGCUCAAAAUGUUACCAGACCUAAAAGCAGACAACCAGAGGCUAAAGGAUGAAAAUGGGGCCUUGAUCAGAGUUAUAAGCAAACUUUCCAAAUAAAAAAAAAGAAAAAAAAAA
rnacentral:sRNA from 1 species